rnacentral:rRNA from 1 species
CGCAGCGAAAGCGAGUCUGAAUAGGGCGUUUAGUACGUGGUCGUAGACCCGAAACCAGGUGAUCUACCCAUGUCCAGGGUGAAGUUCAGGUAACACUGAAUGGAGGCCCGAACCCACGCACGUUGAAAAGUGCGGGGAUGAGGUGUGGGUAGCGGAGAAAUUCCAAUCGAACCUGGAGAUAGCUGGUUCUCCCCGAAAUAGCUUUAGGGCUAGCCUUAAGUGUAAGAGUCUUGGAGGUAGAGCACUGAUUGGACUAGGGGUCCUCAUCGGAUUACCGAAUUCAGUCAAACUCCGAAUGCCAAUGACUUAUCCUUAGGAGUCAGACUGCGAGUGAUAAGAUCCGUAGUCAAAAGGGAA